GAAAUUAAAUCAGAGGAUAUGAAAUGGAAAAUCCCAUGCAUGUCCCCUCAGGAACACAAAAUUUAAGGAGUAAGAGACUGCUUUCCCAUAAAUGAAUGAUUUACAGAAAACUCAUAUUAUUGGAAUUUGCUUUUUUUUUAAUGUAUGUUUAUUUAUUUGAGGGGGGGGAGGGGGAGGGGCAGAGAGAGAGGGAGAAAGAAUUCCAAGCAGGCUCCAAGAUCAGUGCAGAACCCAACAUGGAGCUUGAUCUCAUGAUGGAACAAAUCAGUAACAAAGUCUGUUAGGAAUCCCAGAGCUCAUUGUUGAUGAGGAGGGUAUGAGUCAGUAGGAGAACCUGCUGCUGCCGCCAUGGAGCAAGUGACAGAGGGUUCUUUACGUGGGAACCUUAGAAUAGUCAAAGCUGAAAGGCAUAGGAGAGUUUAACAACUCAGACCCUGAGGGACACAGUAGGAAAUUGUACUUCUGGAAGAAGGCUGGGGAGGGCUACAGGGAAGAACAUUGCGCUUUUAGACCUAAUGAUCUUUGAUCCACCUAUUUACCACUUUCCCUUUGAAAUACAGCCAUAGACAUUCUCCAGGGUUGAAUGCCUUGGUUGAGACUUUGCCUACUCAUAACGAUCUCCAAUAACUUUAAGAUCAAAGAUUCCAGUAAGAACCUGGGCAUUGUCAGAAAAGCAUUUGAAUAAAAAACAGGCAGCUCAUCAAAGUGACCCAAUUAAAUGGAAAUGACACAUUCGGAAACCUGUCUAUGAGUUUUUAUGUUCAGAAAGAAAAAGAAAGAUGGAACUUGAUUUGUGGAUGGCAAUGCUUGACUGAGGGAGGAGAUAUGUUUCUGAAAGAAUGUCAGCUAACAGAAAAUUUCUAGUAAAAGAAAAAGAGAAGGAGAAUAGAAAGCCCUUGCACGUCACAGGACAGGAAUUAGACCUCUUGCUCAACCGCCAGACACUGAAAGCUGUAAAGAGGCACCACUAAAUCUACACGGAAUCAGGAAAUGUUACAGGCCACUGCACCCCCUCCCUAAUUAACUACGCCCAGUCCCUUUAAAGCCCUCUUGGCUAGGCAGAAACCGUGGAGCUGGCUUUUGGACCAGAGUCUGCCUUCUCCCCAGGUGGCCGGCCUCCUGAAUAAAGCACAUAGUCCUUUCCAACCAACACGGGCUCUUGGGUACUGAGCAACAGGCAGAACUUGGGUUCCACAACACAAUUACUAGACAAAGCAGGUGGGGGGAGAGGGUGCAUUGUGAUGUAGUAUUGAGUAAUAUCCCAGAUUAGAAGAUGUGUUUCAAUUCAUGUUGCAGGGCUAUAAAGGUAGAUCACCAGGUGAAUGGUUUCUAAGAAAGGGAGUUGGCAAGAUGGGAUAAAGAGGAAGGAUGCAGCUCUCUGAAUAACUUCUCCAGAGGUAACUUACUUUUCUGGCUCCUACACAAAGCAGAAACUAGCUAUCUCCAUUGUGUCCCCAGUCUGAAACAGAUACCACCUGCCCCUCCUCCUUCUUCUUUGUACUUGGAGUGUGGAAGUGAAGCCAUAGAUGCAGCAGCAGUCCUGUGACCUUGAAAUAAGAAGCAUGAGUGGAAAAUCCACAUGCUAAGGAUGAUGGAACAGGAAAAUAGGAAGAGCUGGAAAUAGUCACAUCAUGUUGCUACUGCACCAGUCCUACACUUCCGACCUUCAGACUUCUUAUUAUUAUUUUAGAAAAAUUAUAUCCCAGCCACCUGGGUGGCUCAGUCGGUUAAGUGGCUGACUCUUGAUUUGGGCUC